rnacentral:rRNA from 1 species
UAAAUACUCCCUAGUGACCGAUAGUGAACCAGUACCGUGAGGGAAAGGUGAAAAGCACCCCGGAAGGGGAGUGAAACAGUUCCUGAAACCGUGUGCCUACAAGUAGUUAGAGCCCGUUAAUGGGUGAUAGCGUGCCUUUUGUAGAAUGAACCGGCGAGUUACGAUUUGUUGCAAGGUUAAGCGGAAAAAGCGGAGCCGUAGCGAAAGCGAGUCUGAAUAGGGCGCAUAAGUAACAGGUCGUAGACCCGAAACCAGGUGAUCUACCCAUGUCCAGGAUGAAGGUAAGGUAAUACUUACUGGAGGUCCGAACCCACGCACGUUGAAAAGUGCGGGGAUGAGGUGUGGGUAGCGGAGAAAUUCCAAUCGAACUUGGAGAUAGCUGGUUCUCUCCGAAAUAGCUUUAGGGCUAGCCUCGAGGUAAAGAGUCAUGGAGGUAGAGCACUGUUUGGACUAGGGGCCCUUCUCGGGUUACCGAAUUCAGAUAAACUCCGAAUGCCAUGUACUUAUACUCGGGAGUCAGACUGCGAGUGAUAAGAUCCGUAGUCGAAAGGGAAACAGCCCAGACCACCAGUUAAGGUCCCCAAAUAUAUGUUAAGUGGAAAAGGAUGUGGGGUUGCUUAGACAACCAGGAUGUUGGCUUAGAAGCAGCCACCAUUGAAAGAGUGCGUAAUAGCUCACUGGUCGAGUGACCCCGCGCCGAAAAUGUACCGGGGCUAAACAUAUUACCGAAACUGUGGAUGAACCUCUUUAGAGGUUCGUGGUAGGAGAGCGUUCUAAGGGCGGUGAAGUCAGACCGGAAGGACUGGUGGAGCGCUUAGAAGUGAGAAUGCCGGUAUGAGUAGCGAAAGAAGGGUGAGAAUCCCUUCCACCGAAUAUCUAAGGUUUCCUGAGGAAGGCUCGUCCGCUCAGGGUUAGUCGGGACCUAAGCUGAGGCCGAUAGGCGUAGGCGAUGGACAACAGGUAGAGAUUCCUGUACCAGUGCUAAUUGUUUAACCGAUGGGGUGACACAGAAGGAUAGGGAAUCGCACGAAUGGAAAUGUGCGUCCAAGCAGUGAGUGUGAGAAGUAGGCAAAUCCGCUUCUCGCGAAGCAUGAGCUGUGAUGGGGAAGGAAAUUAAGUACGGAAGUUCCUGAUUUCACGCUGUCAAGAAAAGCCUCUAGGAAGAGUAGUACUGCCCGUACCGCAAACCGACACAGGUAGAUGAGGAGAGAAUCCUAAGGUGAGCGAGAGAACUCUCGUUAAGGAACUCGGCAAAAUGACCCCGUAACUUCGGGAGAAGGGGUGCUCUAUUAGGGUGCAAGCCCGAGAGAGCCGCAGUGAAUAGGCCCAGGCGACUGUUUAGCAAAAACACAGGUCUCUGCAAAACCGUAAGGUGACGUAUAGGGGCUGACGCCUGCCCGGUGCUGGAAGGUUAAGAGGAGUGCUUAGCUUCGGCGAAGGUACGAAUUGAAGCCCCAGUAAACGGCGGCCGUAACUAUAACGGUCCUAAGGUAGCGAAAUUCCUUGUCGGGUAAGUUCCGACCCGCACGAAAGGCGCAACGAUCUGGGCACUGUCUCAACGAGAGACUCGGUGAAAUUAUAGUACCUGUGAAGAUGCAGGUUACCCGCGACAGGACGGAAAGACCCCGUGGAGCUUUACUGCAACCUGAUAUGGAAUGUUUGUACCGCUUGUACAGGAUAGGUAGGAGCCGAAGAGACGUGUGCGCUAGCAUACGAGGAGGCAAUGGUGGGAUACUACCCUGGCUGUAUGACCAUUCUAACCCGCCACGCUUAGCGCGUGGGGAGACAGUGUCAGGUGGGCAGUUUGACUGGGGCGGUCGCCUCCUAAAGAGUAACGGAGGCGCCCAAAGGUUCCCUCAGAAUGGAUGGAAAUCAUUCGCAGAGUGUAAAGGCACAAGGGAGCUUGACUGCGAGACUGACAAGUCGAGCAGGGACGAAAGUCGGGCUUAGUGAUCCGGUGGUUCCGCAUGGAAGGGCCAUCGCUCAACGGAUAAAAGCUACCCCGGGGAUAACAGGCUUAUCUCCCCCAAGAGUCCACAUCGACGGGGAGGUUUGGCACCUCGAUGUCGGCUCGUCGCAUCCUGGGGCUGUAGUCGGUCCCAAGGGUUGGGCUGUUCGCCCAUUAAAGCGGCACGCGAGCUGGGUUCAGAACGUCGUGAGACAGUUCGGUCCCUAUCCGUCGCGGGCGCAGGAAAUUUGAGAGGAGCUGUCCUUAGUACGAGAGGACCGGGAUGGACACACCGCUGGUGUACCAGUUGUUCCGCCAGGAGCAUCGCUGGGUAGCUAUGUGUGGCAGGGAUAAACGCUGAAAGCAUCUAAGCGUGAAGCCCCCCUCAAGAUGAGAUUUCCCAUUUCUUCGGAAAGUAAGAUCCCUGAAAGAUGAUCAGGUAGAUAGGUUUGGAGUGGAAGUGUAGCGAUACAUGGAGCGGACAAAUACUAAUCGAUCGAGGACUUAACCAAAA